GGUUUUGCUUCUCAUUUCUCUCUUUCCAAAGCACAGUCAGUUCCCAGAAAUGAAGGUACUCAGAAACAGUGAAACUCCGGGCUUUCAGGGGCACAGGGUUCCCCAGUCUUUCCACCCUUGGAGGCACCACCAAGGGCCUGGAGUCUUGCUGUCGCCCACGCUAGAGGAUAGUGACGUGAUCUCAGCUCACUGCAACCUCCGCCUUCCGGAUUCAAGAAAUUCUCCUGCCUCAGCCUCCCGAGUAGCUGGAAUUACAGGCAUGAGCCACCACGCCCGGCUAAUUCUUGUAUUUUUAGUAGAGACAGGGUUUCACCAUGUUGGCCAGGCUGGUCUUGAACUUCUGACCUCGGGUGAUCUGCCCACUUCAGCCUCCCAAAGUGCUGGGAUUACAAGCAUGAGCCACCCUGCACAGCCUUUCUCUCUUUCUUGCUUCCUCCUCCCUUCAUCCUUUUCUUUCAUUUUUAAAACAUUUUUAAAAUUAUUAUUAUUUUUAAAUUUUUUUUUUGAGAUGGAGUCUAGCUCUGUCGCCCAGGCUGGAGUGCAGCGGCGUGAUCUCGGCUCACUGCAAUCUUUGCCUCCCAGGUUCAAGAGAUUCUCCUGCUUCAGCCUCCCGACUAGCUGGGAUUACAGGUGUCCGCCACCACACCCAGCUAAUUUUUGUAUUUUUAGUAGAUGGGGUUUCACUGUGUUGGCCAGGCUGGUCUUGAACUCCUGACCUUGUGAUCCUUGGCCUCCCAAAGUGCUGGGAUUACAAACAUGAGCUACUGUGCCCGGCCUAUUAUUAUUAUUUUUGAGACAGAGUUUCGCUCUUGUUGCCUGAGCAGGAGUGCAAUGGCGUGAUCUUGGCUCACUGCAACCUCUGCUUCUCAGCUUCAAGUGAUUCUCCUGCCUCAGCCUCUCGAGUAGCUGGGAUUACAGGCGUGAGCCACCACACCCAGCUAAUUUUUGUAUUUUUAGUACAGACGGGUUUUCACCAUGUUGGCCAGGCUGGCCUCGAACUCCUGACCUCAAGUGAUCUGCCUGCCUCAGGCUCCCAAAGUGCUGGGAUUACAGGCGUGAGCCACCGUGCCUGGCCUAAAAUUAUUUUUUUAGAGACAGGGUCUGACUCUGAUGUCCAGGCUGGAGUGCAGUGGGGCAAUUAUAGCUCACUGCUGUCUUAAACUCUUGGGCUCAAGUAAUCCUCCUGCCUCAGCCUCCCGAGUAGGUGGGACCACAGGCAUGUGCCAUCAUACCCAGCUCAUAUUUUUAAUUAUUGAAAAAAACCCACAAUUUUAAAAACUACACACAGACUCAAAUGGGUACAGCACCAAAUUAUGACACAUUAGAAUCCUUCCCAUGUGCUCAGAGAACAGGGUUUGUGCUGAGCUUUAAAUAAGGCUUCUCUUGCUGUCUCUGUCAAUCAAAGAGACUGCAAGGUGGGCUUCAGACACAGUGCUAGCAUUUGUAAACAAUUAUCUGUGAGAAUCAGAGGUCACUUUGUCCUGUGCUACCAAAAUCAAACACUGAAAGAAAAUGGACAUUGAGACCAACAUAAGACUACAGCUACCAUCCCAGCCUCCAGUUCAAACAUUUGUGUUCAUUGCUGUUUGCCUUGAUGGACUGUAUGCUAAGAAAGAAUUUGCACUUGCAAAAUACAUUUAUGCUAACAAGA